rnacentral:rRNA from 1 species
GAUGAACGCUGGCGGCGUGCCUAAUACAUGCAAGUCGAGCGAGCGGCGGACGGGUGAGUAAUGUCUGGGACACUGCCUGAUGGAGGGGGAUAACUACUGUAAACGGUAGCUAAUACCGCAUAGAAUAAGAUGUGCCCAGAGGGGAUUAGCUAGUAGGUGGGGUAAUUGCUCACCUAGGCGACGAUCCCUAGCUGGUCUGAGAGGAUGAACAGCCAGCCUGGAACUGAGACACGGUCCAGACGCCUACGGGAGGCAGCAGUGGGGAAUAUUGCACAAUGGGCGCAAGCCUGAUGCAGCCACGCCGCGUGUGUGAAUAAGGCCUUCGGGUUGUAAAGCACUUUCAGCGAGGAAGCGUUACUCGCAGAAGAAGCACCGGCUAACUCCGUGCCAGCAGCCGCGGUAAUAC